GGCCUCAUGAAAUUAUGUCAAUGUCAUACAUACAACUGCACUGCACACAAAACUACAAAUCAUGGAUGGAUCAAACCCCAAAAAUUUAGCAUUUUAACUGUACAAAUAAUGCGCAUAAUCGUGCUCAAAACCCUCAGAAUUUCUCCGCGCAUGUGCAGUGGCAUGAAGAGAUCAGUUGAGGAAUUUCAGGUAGUCCCUGAGGUCAGUGGGGAAGCACGGGUACUGCCUCCAGAAUGCGCCGUGCACACUGAGAAGCUUCGCCGCCUUCUCCUUGGUCGACGCGGAGUUCUCCACCUGCAGGAGUGCCAGCAGCUUCGCCACACCGCCGCUCAUCAGCAUGUCAUCCAGCACCCUCUCCGCAGGCGUCACCGCGCACGCCACCAGCCACAGCACGCUCACGGCCAGCCCGCUGGCGAGGCGCGACACGCGCAGCAGCGUCUGCGCCACGGCCGACACCGCCAGCGCGUGCUCCACGAAGGCGAGCCGGCCUUCGGGGCACUUGCACAGGCGCUUGAGUAGGAGGAGCGCGCGCUCGGCGAUGCGGCGCUCGGCGUCGGGAAGGAGCUCCACGAGCACGCAGACCGCGCCC
rnacentral:misc_RNA from 1 species